UUCCAGACUCCUACGGGAGGCAGCAGUGGGGAAUAUUGCACAAUGGGGGAAACCCUGAUGCAGCGACGCCGCGUGAGCGAUGAAGUAUUUCGGUAUGUAAAGCUCCAUCAGCAGGGAAGAAAAUGACGGUACCUGACUAAGAAGCCCCGGCUAACUACGUGCCAGCAGCCGCGGUAAUACGUAGGGGGCAAGCGUUAUCCGGAUUUACUGGGUGUAAAGGGAGCGUAGACGGCAAUGCAAGCCAGAUGUGAAAGCCCGGGGCUCAACCCCGGGACUGCAUUUGGAACUGUGUAGCUGGAGUGUCGGAGAGGCAGGCGGAAUUCCUAGUGUAGCGGUGAAAUGCGUAGAUAUUAGGAGGAACACCAGUGGCGAAGGCGGCCUGCUGGACGAUGACUGACGUUGAGGCUCGAAAGCGUGGGGAGCAAACAGGAUUAGAUACCCCUGUAC
rnacentral:rRNA from 1 species